rnacentral:lncRNA from 1 species
GGUCCCCAGGUGUCCACAUGAAUCAGUUGAAAAGGUCUAGAAGUCUUAAUGGAACUAUCAAGGAAUGGAAGUCUAGUCUGUCUGGCCAUGGGACAGACAGUACAGGGGAAGGUUUGUUUGGAAGCAAAUGGAAAAGACAGACCAGAAAUGCAUUUCAUAUUUGCAAAGGGAGUAUGUGCAAGUCUUAAGUGCCAAAUGUAAUUCAUAUCAGAUGCAAAAUCAUUAUUACAAAUGGAACUAUUUACAUGUGAAGGCACAGAAACAUCCUUGUUAUCAGACAAGAUGUCAUCAUUACAAGAAACAGACACAGAAGGCAAUGCAACAACAUUGUUAUUAUUACAAGAAGCAGAUACUCAUCAUUACAAGAAACAGACACAGAAGGCAAUGCAACAACAUUGUUAUUAUUACAAGAAGCAUAUACAGGACAAACAAAAGUAGAGGAACAAUUAACAGAGGAAGAAGGGGAAGAGGGAACCCAAUUUAGUUUAUGCAGCCCAGUAGCUUCUCUACCAAGAUCCAGUGGCCUCCUCAGAGAAGGGUCC